rnacentral:rRNA from 1 species
UGGGGAAUAUUGCACAAUGGGCGCAAGCCUGAUGCAGCCAUGCCGCGUGUAUGAAGAAGGCCUUCGGGUUGUAAAGUACUUUCAGCGGGGAGGAAGGCGAUAAGGUUAAUAACCUUGUCGAUUGACGUUACCCGCAGAAGAAGCACCGGCUAACUCCGUGCCAGCAGCCGCGGUAAUACGGAGGGUGCAAGCGUUAAUCGGAAUUACUGGGCGUAAAGCGCACGCAGGCGGUCUGUCAAGUCGGAUGUGGAAUCCCCGGGCUCAACCUGGGAACUGCAUUCGAAACUGGCAGGCUAGAGUCUUGUAGAGGGGGGUAGAAUUCCAGGUGUAGCGGUGAAAUGCGUAGAGAUCUGGAGGAAUACCGGUGGCGAAGGCGGCCCCCUGGACAAAGACUGACGCUCAGGUGCGAAAGCGUGGGGAGCAAACA